rnacentral:rRNA from 1 species
CCUACGGGAGGCAGCAGUGGGGAAUAUUGCGCAAUGGGCGGAAGCCUGACGCAGCGACGCCGCGUGGGGGAUGACGGCCUUCGGGUUGUAAACCUCUUUCGGCAGGGACGAAGUUGACGUGUACCUGUUGAAGAAGCGCCGGCUAACUACGUGCCAGCAGCCGCGGUAAUACGUAGGGCGCAAGCGUUGUCCGGAAUUAUUGGGCGUAAAGAGCUCGUAGGCGGCUGGUCGCGUCUGCCGUGAAAGCCCGUGGCUUAACUACGGGUCUGCGGUGGAUACGGGCCGGCUGGAGGUAGGUAGGGGCAAGCGGAAUUCCUGGUGUAGCGGUGAAAUGCGCAGAUAUCAGGAGGAACACCGGUGGCGAAGGCGGCUUGCUGGGCCUUACCUGACGCUGAGGAGCGAGAGCGUGGGGAGCGAACAGGAUUAGAUACCCUUGUAGU